GUCCCGGCUGUAAACGGUGCACGUUUGCUGUAAGUGGAAUCGACCCCACUUGUGGCGUAGCCAACGCGAUAAACGUGCCGCCUGGGAAGUACGGUCGCAAGAUUAAAACUCAAAGAAAUUGACGGGGGCCUGCACAAGCGGUGGAGUAUGUGGCUCAAUUCGAUGCAACGCGAAGAACCUUACCUGGCCUUGACAUGCACGUAGUAGAAGGGUGAAAGCCUAACGAGGUAGCAAUACCAGCGUGCACAGGUGCUGCAUGGCUGUCGU
rnacentral:rRNA from 1 species